rnacentral:rRNA from 1 species
GGCUCAGGACGAACGCUGGCGGCGUGCCUAACACAUGCAAGUCGAACGAAGCUCCUGCGUGGAAGUCUUCGGAUGAAGCAAAGGAAGACUAGUGGCGGACGGGUGAGUAACGCGUGAGCAACCUGCCUUCAGAGGGGGAGUAACAGUUGGAAACGACUGCUAAUACCGCAUAACAUAUUGAUGUCGCAUGGCAUUGAUAUCAAAGCUGAGGCGCUGAGAGAUGGGCUCGCGUCCGAUUAGAUAGUUGGUGGGUAACGGCCUACCAAGUCGACGAUCGGUAGCCGGACUGAGAGGUUGAACGGCCACAUUGGGACUGAGACACGGCCCAGACUCCUACGGGAGGCAGCAGUGGGGGAUAUUGCACAAUGGGCGAAAGCCUGAUGCAGCAACGCCGCGUGAGGGAAGACGGUUUUCGGAUUGUAAACCUCUGUCUUUGGUGAAGAAGAAAGUGACGGUAGCCAAGGAGGAAGCCACGGCUAACUACGUGCCAGCAGCUGC